rnacentral:rRNA from 1 species
UUUAUGGAGAGUUUGAUCCUGGCUCAGGAUGAACGCUGGCGGCGUGCCUAAUACAUGCAAGUCGAGCGAACAGACAAGGAGCUUGCUCCUUUGACGUUAGCGGCGGACGGGUGAGUAACACGUGGGUAACCUACCUAUAAGACUGGGAUAACUUCGGGAAACCGGAGCUAAUACCGGAUAAUAUUUCGAACCGCAUGGUUCGAUAGUGAAAGAUGGUUUUGCUAUCACUUAUAGAUGGACCCGCGCCGUAUUAGCUAGUUGGUAAGGUAACGGCUUACCAAGGCGACGAUACGUAGCCGACCUGAGAGGGUGAUCGGCCACACUGGAACUGAGACACGGUCCAGACUCCUACGGGAGGCAGCAGUAGGGAAUCUUCCGCAAUGGGCGAAAGCCUGACGGAGCAACGCCGCGUGAGUGAUGAAGGUCUUCGGAUCGUAAAACUCUGUUAUUAGGGAAGAACAUACGUGUAAGUAACUAUGCACGUCUUGACGGUACCUAAUCAGAAAGCCACGGCUAACUACGUGCCAGCAGCCGCGGUAAUACGUAGGUGGCAAGCGUUAUCCGGAAUUAUUGGGCGUAAAGCGCGCGUAGGCGGUUUUUUUAGUCUGAUGUGAAAGCCCACGGCUCAACCGUGGAGGGUCAUUGGAAACUGUAAAACUUGAGUGCAGAAGAGGAAAGUGGAAUUCCAUGUGUAGCGGUGAAAUGCGCAGAGAUAUGGAGGUAACACCAGUGGCGAAGGCGACUUUCUGGUCUGUAACUGACGCUGAUGUGCGAAAGCGUGGGGAUCAAACAGGAUUAGAUACCCUGGUAGUCCACGCCGUAAACGAUGAGUGCUAAGUGUUAGGGGGUUUCCGCCCCUUAGUGCUGCAGCUAACGCAUUAAGCACUCCGCCUGGGGAGUACGACCGCAAGGUUGAAACUCAAAGGAAUUGACGGGGACCCGCACAAGCGGUGGAGCAUGUGGUUUAAUUCGAAGCAACGCGAAGAACCUUACCAAAUCUUGACAUCCUUUGACAACUCUAGAGAUAGAGCCUUCCCCUUCGGGGGACAAAGUGACAGGUGGUGCAUGGUUGUCGUCAGCUCGUGUCGUGAGAUGUUGGGUUAAGUCCCGCAACGAGCGCAACCCUUAAGCUUAGUUGCCAUCAUUAAGUUGGGCACUCUAAGUUGACUGCCGGUGACAAACCGGAGGAAGGUGGGGAUGACGUCAAAUCAUCAUGCCCCUUAUGAUUUGGGCUACACACGUGCUACAAUGGACAAUACAAAGGGCAGCGAAACCGCGAGGUCAAGCAAAUCCCAUAAAGUUGUUCUCAGUUCGGAUUGUAGUCUGCAACUCGACUACAUGAAGCUGGAAUCGCUAGUAAUCGUAGAUCAGCAUGCUACGGUGAAUACGUUCCCGGGUCUUGUACACACCGCCCGUCACACCACGAGAGUUUGUAACACCCGAAGCCGGUGGAGUAACCAUUUGGAGCUAGCCGUCGAAGGUGGGACAAAUGAUUGGGGUGAAGUCGUAACAAGGUAGCCGUAUCGGAAGGUGCGGCUGGAUCACCUCCUUU